rnacentral:rRNA from 1 species
GAUGAACGCUGGCGGCGUGCCUAAUACAUGCAAGUCGAGCGAACAGACGAGGAGCUUGCUCCUCUGACGUUAGCGGCGGACGGGUGAGUAACACGUGGAUAACCUACCUAUAAGACUGGGAUAACUUCGGGAAACCGGAGCUAAUACCGGAUAACAUGUUGAACCGCAUGGUUCAACAGUGAAAGACGGUCUUGCUGUCACUUAUAGAUGGAUCCGCGCCGCAUUAGUUAGUUGGUAAGGUAACGGCUUACCAAGGCAACGAUGCGUAGCCGACCUGAGAGGGUGAUCGGCCACACUGGAACUGAGACACGGUCCAGACUCCUACGGGAGGCAGCAGUAGGGAAUCUUCCGCAAAGGGCGAAAGCCUGACGGAGCAACGCCGCGUGAGUGAUGAAGGUCUUCGGAUCGUAAAACUCUGUUAUUAGGGAAGAACAAAUGUGUAAGUAACUAUGCACGUCUUGACGGUACCUAAUCAGAAAGCCACGGCUAACUACGUG